rnacentral:rRNA from 1 species
AUUGAACGCUGGCGGCAGGCCUAACACAUGCAAGUCGAGCGGAUGAAGGGAGCUUGCUCCUGGAUUCAGCGGCGGACGGGUGAGUAAUGCCUAGGAAUCUGCCUGGUUGUGGGGGAUAACGUCCGGAAACGGGCGCUAAUACCGCAUACGUCCUGAGGGUGAAAGUGGGGGAUCUUCGGACCUCACGCUAUCUGAUGAGCCUAGGUCGGAUUAGCUAGUUGGUGGGGUAAAGGCCUACCAAGGCGACGAUCCGUAACUGGUCUGAGAGGAUGAUCAGUCACACUGGAACUGAGACACGGUCCAGACUCCUACGGGAGGCAGCAGUGGGGAAUAUUGGACAAUGGGCGAAAGCCUGAUCCAGCCAUGCCGCGUGUGUGAAGAAGGUCUUCGGAUUGUAAAGCACUUUAAGUUGGGAGGAAGGGCAGUAAGUUAAUACCUUGCUGUUUUGACGUUACCAACAGAAUAAGCACCGGCUAACUUCGUG